UACGUAGGUGACAAGCGUUGUCCGGAUUUACUGGGCGUAAAGAGCGCGCAGGCGGUUGAUCAAGUCGAGUGUGAAAUCCCACGGCUCAACUGGGGAGGGUCAUUCGAAACUGAUCGACUUGAAGGCAGGAGAGGGUAGUGGAAUUCCCGGUGUAGUGGUGAAAUGCGUAGAUAUCGGGAGGAACACCAGUGGCGAAGGCGGCUACCUGGACUGUUCUUGACGCUGAGGCGCGAAAGCUAGGGGAGCAAACGGG
rnacentral:rRNA from 1 species